rnacentral:rRNA from 1 species
GGGCUACACAUGCAGUCGAGCGGCCGUAGCAUACGGCAGCGGCAGACGGGAGAAGUAACACGUGGGAACGCGCCCUUCGGUUCGGAAUAACUCGGGGAAACUUGAGCUAAUACCGGAUACGCCCUUACGGGGAAAGAUUUAUUGCCGAAGGAACGGCCCGCGUCCGAUUAGCUAGUUGGUGAGGUAAUGGCUCACCAAGGCGACGAUCGGUAGCUGGUCUGAGAGGAUGACCAGCCUCACUGGGACUGAGACACGGCCAGACUCCUACGGGAGGCAGCAGUGGGGAAUAUUGGACAAUGGGCGCAAGCCUGAUCCAGCCAUGCCGCGUGGAUGAUGAAGGCCCUAGGGUUGUAAAGUCCUUUUAACGGGGAAGAUAAUGACGGUACCCGUAGAAUAAGCCCCGGCUAACUUCGUGCCAGCAGCCGCGGUAAUACGAAGGGGGCUAGCGUUGCUCGGAAUUACUGGGCGUAAAGCGCACGUAGGCGGCUUUCUAAGUCGGUGGUGAAAUCCUGGAGCUCAACUCCAGAACUGCCUUCGAAACUGGAGAGCUUGAGUCCGGGAGAGGUGAGUGGAACUGCGAGUGUAGAGGUGAAAUUCGUAGAUAUUCGCAAGAACACCAGUGGCGAAGGCGGUCACUGGCCCGGUACUGACGCUGAGGUGCGAAAGCGUGGGGAGCAAAACAGGAUUAGAUACCCUGGUAGU